rnacentral:rRNA from 1 species
AGAGGGGGCAAGCGUUGUUCGGAAUUACUGGGCGUAAAGGGCGCGUAGGCGGCCUUCUAAGUCGAACGUGAAAUCCCCAGGCUCAACCCGGGAACUGCGUCCGAUACUGGAAGGCUUGAAUCCGGGAGAGGGAUGUGGAAUUCCAGGUGUAGCGGUGAAAUGCGUAGAUAUCUGGAGGAACACCGGUGGCGAAGGCGGCAUCCUGGACCGGCAUUGACGCUGAGGCGCGAAAGCCAGGGGAGCAAACGGGAUUAGAUACCCCGGUAGUCCUGGCCCUAAACGAUGAAUGCUUGGUGUGGCGGGUAUCGAUCCCUGCCGUGCCGAAGCUAACGCAUUAAGCAUUCCGCCUGGGGAGUACGGUCGCAAGGCUG